rnacentral:rRNA from 1 species
AACGAACGCUGGCGGCAGGCCUAACACAUGCAAGUCGAACGCUCCGCAAGGGGAGUGGCGCACGGGUGAGUAACACGUGGGAACCUACCUUCUGGUACGGAACAACCAAGGGAAACUUUGGCUAAGACCGUAUACGACCUCCGGGUGAAAGAUUGAUCGCCGGAAGAGGGGCCCGCGUCCGAUUAGGUAGUUGGUGAGGUAACGGCUCACCAAGCCUUCGAUCGGUAGCUGGUCUGAGAGGAUGACCAGCCACACUGGGACUGAGACACGGCCCAGACUCCUACGGGAGGCAGCAGUGGGGAAUAUUGGACAAUGGGCGCAAGCCUGAUCCAGCCAUGCCGCGU